rnacentral:rRNA from 1 species
UGGGGAAUAUUGGGCAAUGGGCGCAAGCCUGACCCAGCGACGCCGCGUGAGGGAUGAAGGNCUUCGGAUUGUAAACCUCUUUCAGUAGGGAAGAAGCGAAAGUGACGGUACCUAAAGAAGAAGCACCGGCUAACUAUGUG